CAGCAGCCGCGGGAAUACGGAGGGUGCAAGCGUUAAUCGGAAUUACUGGGCGUAAAGCGCACGCAGGCGGUCUGUCAAGUCAGAUGUGAAAUCCCCGGGCUUAACCUGGGAACUGCAUUUGAAACUGGCAGGCUAGAGUCUUGUAGAGGGGGGUAGAAUUCCAGGUGUAGCGGUGAAAUGCGUAGAGAUCUGGAGGAAUACCGGUGGCGAAGGCGGCCCCCUGGACAAAGACUGACGCUCAGGUGCGAAAGCGUGGGGAGCAAACAGGAUUAGAUACCCCGGUAGUCCUGUCUCUUAUACC
rnacentral:rRNA from 1 species